rnacentral:pre_miRNA from 9 species
UUUCGUUAGCGUAAAAGUUAACUCACAGUUAUAUGGAGUUGGAAUGUUUGCCUACGUUUGCCGCUAGGGGCGCUGUUCUAACUGCAUAGAGUUGACUUUUACGCUAUCGA